rnacentral:rRNA from 1 species
AGAGUUUGAUCCUGGCUCAGGAUGAACGCUGGCGGCGUGCCUAACACAUGCAAGUCGAACGGACUUUUCAUGAAGCCUAGCGAUUGAAAAGUUAGUGGCGGACGGGUGAGUAACGCGUGGGUAACCUGCCUUGUACUGGGGGACAACAGUUGGAAACGACUGCUAAUACCGCAUAAAGCGCACAGCUUCGCAUGAAGCAGUGUAGAAAAACUCCGGUGGUACAAGAUGGACCCGCGUCUGAUUAGCUGGUUGGUGAGGUAACGGCCGCCAAGGCGACGAUCAGUAGCCGGCCUGAGAGGGUGAACGGCCACAUUAGGGACUGAGACACGGCCAAACUCCUACGGGAGGCA